rnacentral:other from 1 species
GCGGAGCUGCCCGGUGCGUCAGGCAACACAUCCCCGGGGCCAGUAAGCAUUCUCCUCGGGAGCUGGCUCUGUCGUGACCGUGGUUACGAUAUCUGGCGCCCACCUGCACACGCAGGCUCUGGGAGGAUGAGACGCCAACGGCCAUGGCGGCUCCGCA